rnacentral:misc_RNA from 1 species
AAGUCGUAACAAGGUUUCCGUAGGUGAACCUGCGGAAGGAUCAUUAACACGUUUCUAUCAUAAAACGUAACACAAAACGCGAACUAAGUUAUUUCGAUCCUGACUGUGCAUGUGAAUUGACGACUAUGUGAGAUAAUGAUGUGGACAGCCGUAAGGUUGUCAUCUCACUAGUUACCAGUUGUGUAGACAUUCGUGUCUGCACAGACAAUUGUGAUGCAUAUAAGUCAGGACAUACAUCUUGCUUGCAACUUACCUCACUUCAUGUGAGUUCAAGCGAGAACACUAUUCACAAAUUUCACCAUACUUUUUGCUAGUUGACUUUAUAUGUUACUAUUCGCAAGGAUCGUAGCACGUUUAUUAAUUGAACGUUAAAUUGUACAACUCUUAGCAAUGGAUAUCUUGGUUCUC